GGAGUUGGAACAAGCUAAAAUAGAUGUGGGGGAAUAUAAUUUUUCUCCGGAAAUCUUGAGUGGAAAACUUGCUGAGGUGGUGUACAGAGAUGCUGCACAAAAAAUUAAAGGGGCUGAAUUCAUCUUGUCGCUGCUACAGAUUGCUGCCAU